rnacentral:lncRNA from 1 species
CUGGCCUCAGAUCAUCACGAGCACCAAGAAAAUGCUUCUGGAUGUUGGAAUGUCAGCCUCGACUCCGCUUCUUUCUGAACUCGCUUGUUCUGCUUCGGGCUCCCAUGUCAGCAGUGUCGUGGAGAGCUCGUCCGUGUGAAGGGACAGCAUCCCGGCCAGGCCAUGGAUGGUGGCCCGGGAGGAGGAAGUGUGAGCGGGUCAAGAGAGAGAGAAGGCAUGAGAGAGGCACUCUGCUCGGAUGACACAGCCCACACUGUUUUGCCACAGAUUUGUGGUGUAUCACAGCUCGAGGGAGUCCUGGAGGCCACCCAGGCCAGGGUUUCUCAUGUUGUUGACCAUGUGCACCAGGAGGUGAGGCCUGGGAAUCCACCUACUUAGUGGCUCAGGAGAGCUGGCCCAAUAACCAGCUGGUACAGAGGCCUCAUUUCAUCGAGGAGCAGUCUGGACUGGAGAGGCCACAGGACUCGGAACAGCACCAGAUUGAAAGCAGAGCCCAUUUGAGACGUGGCUUAAAGAGGGACACCAUGCUGUCCAAACGUGGGUGUAGACAGAGCAGACACAGCCUCUUUUAUCUGCUUAUUGUGGCUCUGGGAAGACAGCUCCCCAACCCCUCCAUUCCUCUCUCAUUUGUUCAUCUUGAAACCCAUUAAGAGGGCACAAAACCUUUAUGUCACAGUGGGAGAUAAUAUGUGAAUGAUUCUUAGAAAGGUAAGAGGUAUAGGCUGGGCGCGGUGGCUCACGCCUGGAAUCCCAGCACUUUAGGAGGCCAAGGUGGGCGGAUCAUGAGGUCAGGAGAUCGAGACCAUCCUGGCUAACACGGUGAAACCCCGUCUCUACUACAAAUACAAAAAAAUUAGCCGGGCAUGGUGGCGGGCGCCUGUAGUCCCAGCUACUCGGGAGGCUGAGGCUGGAGAAUGGAGUGAACCCGGGAGGCGGAGCUUGCAGUGAGCCGAGAUUGCGCCACUGCACUCCAGCCUGGGCAACAGAGCGAAACUCCGUCUCAAAAAAAAAAAAAAAAAAAGAAAGAAAAAAAAGAAAGGUAAGAGGUAUAAAAUAUCCCCCAAGCUAAGGAGGCGCUGUAAUAGGCAGCUCUCCACUUUUGAGAAGAUUAGCUAUUGGAGGAAGAGGUGGCAUGAAACGGCACAGGACCCAAAAGGUGCCCUGCAUGGAGGGAACAUCCCAGAUCACAGAUCAAAGACUGGAUGCAGGGUGGGAAUCCUGUUUUCUAAUUUUUUAUUAUAAAAAUUUCCAAACACACAAAAAUUAAAAGAAUGAUGUACUGAUCACCCAGAUAUCUACCACUUAUAUUCAAAAACUUAAAACAUUCCCAUAGAUGUGCAUGAUCUAUCUAUAGGUCCAUCUGUGUGUGUGUGUGUGUGUGUGUGUGUGUGUGUGUGUGUGUGUGUGUGUGUGUGUCUGGUCGAGGACCAGCAUUUCAAUAAAGGAUAGGGAGUGCUCAACAGGAAACAAGGACAAGACACAGAGGCUGAGGUGGGCAGAUCACUUGGGGCCGAUAGUUCGAGACCAGGCUGACCAACAUGGUGAAACCCCGUCUCUACUAAAAUUACAAAAAAAUUAGCUGGGCGUGGUAGCGCAUGCCUGUAAUCCCGGCUACUUGGGAGGCUGAGGCAGGAGGAUCGCUUGAACAUGGGAGGCGGAGGUUGCAGUGAGUUGAGAUCGCGCACUUCACUCUCGCAACAGAGCGAGACUCCAUCUCAAAAAAAAGAAAGAAAGAAACUUAGUUACAAAGAUUUGAACUUUAACUUGAUGUAGUUAAGUUUAAAUGUAUGUGGAAUAAACCGUGGCAGGGUUUGAUUUAAUUUUAAUUGUUUUUUGCUUUUGUCUUAUUUAGAGAGGUAAAUGAGAUGCUUUGGCAACUGUUGAGGAAGAGAGGAAACAGACUUCAAUGCAGUUAAGAUGGACAUAAGCAGGUUGGAAGGCAGCCAGAGGGAAUUUUUGCAGAAGGAGUGACCCAGUCUUGGGGACAGAGAAUAUGGAUUUGUUUUCCCCAAAGAAUUUAUUGAGCUCUGUGUGUAGUGAGCAUGGCUGGA